AUAGAUCCUGAAACCGUAUGCUUACAAAAAGUAGGAGCCCGCAAGGGUGACUGCGUACCUUUUGUAUAAUGGGUCAGCGACUUACAUUCAGUGGCAAGGUUAACCGAAUAGGGAAGCCGUAGAGAAAUCGAGUCCGAAUAGGGCGAAUUAGUCGCUGGGUGUAGACCCGAAACCAAGUGAUCUAUCCAUGGGCAGGAUGAAGGUGCCGUAACAGGUACUGGAGGUCCGAACCGACUAAUGUUGCAAAAUUAGCGGAUGACCUGUGGAUAGGGGUGAAAGGCUAAACAAACUUGGAAAUAGCUGGUUCUCUCCGAAAACUAUUUAGGUAGUGCCUCAAGUAUUACCUGCGGGGGUAGAGCACUGUUUUGGCUAGGGGGUCAUGGCGACUUACCAAACCAAGGCAAACUCCGAAUACCGCAGAGUACAGCUUGGGAGACAGAGCACCGGGUGCUAACGUCCGGACUCAAGAGGGAAACAACCCAGACCGCCAGCUAAGGUCCCUAAAAUUGGCUAAGUGGGAAACGAAGUGGGAAGGCUAAAACAGUCAGGAUGUUGGCUUAGAAGCAGCCAUCAUUUAAAGAAAGCGUAAUAGCUCACUGAUCGAGUCGUCCUGCGCGGAAGAUGUAACGGGGCUAAGCCAGUUACCGAAGCUGCGGAUUUGCAAUUUAUUGCAAGUGGUAGGAGAGCGUUCUGUAAGCCUGUGAAGGUGCGUUGUAAAGCGUGCUGGAGGUAUCAGAAGUGCGAAUGCUGACAUGAGUAGCGUUAAAGGGGGUGAAAAGCCCCCUCGCCGUAAGCGCAAGGUUUUCUACGCAACGUUCAUCGGCGUAGAGUGAGUCGGCCCCUAAGGCGAGGCAGAGAUGCGUAGUUGAUGGGAAACAGGUCAAUAUUCCUGUACCGAUGUGUAGUGCGAUGUGGGGACGGAGAAGGUUAGCUCAGCAGACUGUUGGAUAUGUCUGUUCAAGCCUGUAGUCGUGCCUGGUAGGUAAAUCCGCCGGGCUUAGAUGAGGGGUGAUAACGAGGAAGCUUGCUUCCGAAGUGAGUGAUACCCUGCUUCCAGGAAAAGCCACUAAGCUUCAGCUACACACGACCGUACCGCAAACCGACACUGGUGCGCGAGAUGAGUAUUCUAAGGCGCUUGAGAGAACUCAGGAGAAGGAACUCGGCAAAUUGACACCGUAACUUCGGAAGAAGGUGUGCCUUUAGUAUGUGAACCUGUACAAGGGGAGCAGAAUGAGGCCUCAGAGAAUCGGUGGCUGCGACUGUUUAAUAAAAACACAGCACUCUGCAAACACGAAAGUGGACGUAUAGGGUGUGACGCCUGCCCGGUGCUGGAAGAUUAAAUGAUGGGGUGCAAGCUCUUGAUUGAAGUCCCAGUAAACGGCGGCCGUAACUAUAACGGUCCUAAGGUAGCGAAAUUCCUUGUCGGGUAAGUUCCGACCUGCACGAAUGGCGUAACGAUGGCCACACUGUCUCCUCCUGAGACUCAGCGAAGUUGAAAUGUUUGUGAUGAUGCAAUCUCCCCGCGGAAAGACGGAAAGACCCCAUGAACCUUUACUGUAGCUUUGUAUUGGACUUUGAACAGAUCUGUGUAGGAUAGGUGGGAGGCUUUGAAGCGUGGUCGCUAGACUGCGUGGAGCCAACGUUGAAAUACCACCCUGGUGUGUUUGAGGUUCUAACCUAGGUCCCUUAUCGGGAUCGGGGACAGUGCAUGGUAGGCAGUUUGACUGGGGCGGUCUCCUCCCAAAGCGUAACGGAGGAGUUCGAAGGUACGCUAGGUACGGUCGGACAUCGUGCUAAUAGUGCAAUGGCAUAAGCGUGCUUAACUGCGAGACUGACAAGUCGAGCAGAUACGAAAGUAGGACAUAGUGAUCCGGUGGUUCUGUAUGGAAGGGCCAUCGCUCAACGGAUAAAAGGUACUCUGGGGAUAACAGGCUGAUACCGCCCAAGAGUUCAUAUCGACGGCGGUGUUUGGCACCUCGAUGUCGGCUCAUCUCAUCCUGGGGCUGUAGCCGGUCCCAAGGGUAUGGCUGUUCGCCAUUUAAAGAGGUACGUGAGCUGGGUUUAAAACGUCGUGAGACAGUUUGGUCCCUAUCUUCCGUGGGCGCUG
rnacentral:rRNA from 3 species